UGGCGAUGAUGAAAUAAGAUCCGUGUUUCGGAGGCGGAUGGUAGUUCGCCGAUGAUGGCAUCACAAACCUCUAAGAAGUUCUGAGCUU